rnacentral:lncRNA from 1 species
GUACUGCCUCCCGAGGUGCUGGGAUUAUAAGCGUGAGCCACAGCACCUGGCCACAGAGUACAUUUUAAAUGUCUUAAUAAAACGUGACAGAAAGUCUAGGUAGAAAGCAGCUAUCUUUGAUGACAGAAUGAUAAAGAAACCCACCUUUCUCCCAACAAUCCAUAAACACCCUGAGGAGAUGUCACCUUCUAUGUAAUAUCACUUGGAUACUGAAAAUUCUCCAUGAACUGGAAGAAUGUAUGCUUCAGUGUGGUAAACAGAAUUUCUAAAAUGACCUCUUCCUCCCUGAGAUAUCCUGACAUAAUACCCUAAAUUUGUAAAUACGAUGAAAUAUUCUUGUGAUUUUGUGUUAUGCUAUAUGGUACAUGUAUUAGGGGGUUUCAGAAAAAGAAACCUAUGGGAGAUAUAUAUGUAUAUAUACACACACCUAUUCUUACACAGAUAGGAAGAGAGAGAGAGACAGAGAGAGAGUCUUUAUUGAUUUCCUUGAAGCAAAUAAGGAGGUUUAGAGAGUCUUUAUUGAUUUCCUUGAAGCAAAUAAGGAGGUUUUUCUAAACCAAAUGGAGUGUUGGAUAAACAAACCACCUAAGGGAAGACAAAAAAUAUUUUGUGUACCUAGGACAACCAUACCUUAAAGGAGAUGUUUUCCCAAUGUAUGCAAUAAAUAUGUUCCGUAUUACAGUAUUCAUACCUAAGUUUAUAUCUCUAAAUGAAAAACAGAAAUAUAUAUAUUUUUUCAGUUGCAGGUGGCUUAAAGAUAUACUUAUUUAAAGGAUUUCAAACUGACCACUCACAGACUAAAUACUGUUUGGCCUAUACAAACUUUUAAAAAUAGGAAAAUGUACAAAAAGCCUGCACAUGAACCCUUUAAUCUAUAAUACAAGUUGAAUUUUUUUUUAAAAAAGACAUAUUGCUUACAGCAAAAUUUACACUAAGAAAUUUGGUGGCGUGGCAUGGGUUAGGAGACUUGUCCUUGCUGUCUGAACAUACUAUUUAAUCUCUCUGUUACUCAGCUUUCUUAUCGGUAAAAUGAGUUGGUUAAACAAGAUCAAGUGGUGCCAGCCCAAAAGCCUUCAAGGAGCAGGCAAGUGACAUGAGAGAGUGAAUAGACCAGGUGCAACACAAAAGUGAGUAAUGGAACUACAACAAUUGGAGCUGCACAAGCUGCUUCAAGGAGGCACCAGCCUGUUAUUGUCAUGGGGAGAAAUGGGCACAGUGUUGCCAGAUCUUUUGACUUUUCAAAAGAAGUUGAUACCUGUUUAUUAUAAAGAAUUUGCUGCUCAAGUAAUUACAGAGGCUGAGAAGUCCCAUGAUCUGCUGCCUGCAAGCUGGAAACACAGGGAGUUGGUGCUGUUGUUCUGAGAACUGGAGGGUCAAUGGCACAAUUUCUAGUCGAGGGCAGAGGAGUGAUGUCUCAGCACAAGCUGUCAGGCAGAGAGAGAAUAAAUUCUCCCUUCCUCCACCUUUUUGUUCUAUUCAGGCUCUCACUGGAUUGGAUGAAGCUCACUCACAUUGGGCAGGGUCACCUGCUUCACCUAGUCCACCAAUUUAAAUUUUGAUAUAAUCUGGAAACACUCUCAAAGAAACACACAGAAAUAAUGUUUAAUCUGGGAACCCUGUUUCCCAGUUCAGUGGAAACCAUCACAAUACAUUUGCUUUUAUAAAUAAUGAGUUAUCCAAGUGGGCCUGAUAUAAUCAUGUGAGUCCUUAACAGCAGAGAGCUUUUUCCAGCUGGAGGCUGAAAGAGAAGUUGGAGGGAUUUGAAGUGUGAGUCCUGAAUAAACCCUGGCUGCUACAAAGAUGGAGGGCCCUAUAGAAAGCAUGAAGGGGAAUAUGCGCAGCCUAUAGGAGCAGAGAGAACCCCUGACUGGCAGCCAGCAGGGAAAUGGGGACCUUAUUCCAACAACCAGUAAUCUAAGGUAACUAAUUUGGCAACAACCUGGGUGAGUUUGGGAGUAAUUUCUUCCCCAGAGUCCCUAGAUGAGACCCCUGCCUGGCCAGCAAGACCCACUUUCUCCCAUGAGACCCUAAGCAGAGAACCAAGUUACAAUGUACUAGGACUCCGACUUACAGACACUGUGAGAUAACAAAUUUGUUAUUUAAGCUUGUAAGUUUAUGGUAAUUUGUUACACAACAACAGACAACUAAUAUUCCCUGCUGUUGUGCUUCUUUGGUGCCUCUGCCCUCCUCCAAACACUGAGGGCAGGCAAAACUGCCAAGUAAUCUAUUAAAGUAUUCUAAUUUAGAAUUGCAAUAUUGCUUUACUUGAAGAGAACGGAGAAGAGUCUAUCACAGAGUUUUCCAUAAUCAGUUACCAGUACCUGAACUCCCUAAAUCAGCAAAUUAUGCCCUAAACUCACUCAAUGACACAAUAGGUUGUUGGGUUGAUGGAUAAAUUCUGAAAAUUUGAUUCAAACUCACACCUUCCUGAGUUAAAUUGUCCAUUUCUUUUCUCUUAGGGUAUCUUCAAAACAGCUUAUUGAGAUAAGCAAGGCAGGAGUUUAUUACCCCAAUAUUAAAGAUGAGGAAAUUGAGGUCCUGAGGGAACCUGGAGGCUCUCCCACAGUCGAUCACUGAGAAUCUGACACAAGCUGCACUCAAAAAUGCUGCUGUGAAAGGUUACGAGUGUCAGUUACAUGCAUUUUACAAUUUGUUAUGGAUGUUUUUGUACAUGUUAAUUUGUUUCAUUAUCAGGUAUUAUUAUUAAGAUAAUUUCUAUUUGGAAGUAAGGAAGCAAUGUUAGAGAGUUUAUAUAAUUUAUCCAAAAUCACAGCAGCUAGUAACUAUGAGAGCUCACCUUAAAAAUCUGUCCAAUGCCUAGCCUUCCCUUUACCUGAAAUAGCAAAAGACCUAUUAGGGUGUUAGAUCAAGCCCCAAAUAAUUUGUAUCCUUCUUGAGUUAAGUUGGCCAGGCGGGCAAAUCAAGACAGCUUAAUUCUGUUUGAUGGUAGGCUUCCUUCCCACUUUACCAUGUCUGAUAUUAAAAGCUUUGCUUAUGAUUUUCACUGUGGCAAAGACCAAGGUAUUCUCACAUCUGUCCUAUGUAUAUGUUUCAAUGGUUGAACAGUCAUGGGCCAAUAUUUGCUCAUAGAAUAUCAAAUCUACAUGUACUUAGUGUGUCAAAAGACAGUUCUUUCAAAAUUUUUAGGGUUAGGGAAGAUAAAAGAAAUGGGGGAAGUCUUGACAGAUGAUAGGAGGGGUGGGGGAGGGAGAGAGUGGGAUGAUGGUUCCAGGAAUAUGGAGAAACUUGGAGAAAUGCCCAGAAUUGGGAGUGGGAGUUAGGGAAUGAGACCCAGAGAAAAUAAGGGAGGUGAUACAGACAGACUCAAAGUGUAAGGAGGCCUUGAAUGUCAGGGCAGGAAGUUUGAAAUUGAUGAUGGAGGGACAGAGGAGACAGAGAGACACGUAGGGAAGUGGGGAGUAGUGUUGUCACGGGAGCCCUGGGGGCCUGUCAUGGGCAUUAGGAGUCUGAGCAGGCUUGCAGGGGAAAGGAGAAUUGGAAAUUCUCCCGUGCCUCACAGAUAUAUAAAUAAAGCACAAUAAGGACUAUAAUGAGGAAAUAAAUGUCAUAAAAAUGUUUGAUAGCAGAUGGAACAUACAAACACAAAAAGAUGCCAAUAGCCUCCAGCCAAGAGAAAUAAGGGAAGGAGCUCGGUCUAGGUGACCCCGAAGCUCUGUUUUAGCUUGCAUAUUCUGUAAUUUCUAUGCUUUGAUUUAUUGAAUUUCACUAGUGUUUGCCAGCUACUGCCUAUGUAGAAAGCACUAUGCUGCACAGUACAGAGUGAGGAGUGAGAGGAAAUGUGAGGUUGAAUAUAAUCUAGUUCCCUGCUUGGAAGAAGAUUUCUGUAUAUUGGGGGAGAAGACCCUGCAAACUGUAUCACAUUCCAGAGUGAGCAAGUGCCCUAAGAGGAUUAUACAUAUAAUGGAAACCUCAACGGGAGGAUGGGUGGACUUCAAGUCAUCUGUGAAGGUGAUGGUUUUAGACACAGGCAAACCCUAUGUCUAGUAGUUCCCUACUAGACAAAGGAAAACCCAUAUCUAAAGGGGUAAGAAAAAUGCUCUGGGUAUAAUAAUUAUGGUAAGCAGAAUUCCAAUCUGAUCCCCAGUGAAUCCCAUCCUUGUAUAAGCCCCUCCUCUUGACUGCAGAUGGAACUCUAGGCUUGCUGUGUUAGAGGUGGUGGAUGUCAUUCCCGUAAUUACGUUAUGUUAUAUGGCAAAGGCGCGGCAAUAUUCACUCCUGUGUUUGUUUCUUUAUAUAAGACUCCAUCUCAGCACAGUGGAGAGAGAUUUCCUGCCACCUUUGAAGAAAUCAGUUGCCAUUUGUGAGAAUUCCACUUGGCAAGGAAGUAUGAGACCCUUUAGGAGUCAAGAGCAUUCCCCAGCUGAAGACAACACAAAAUAAAGACCUCAAUCUUAACAACUCCAAGGAACUACAUGCUGUUAGAUUGGUGCAAAAGUUACUGUGGUUUUGUCAUGAAAAGUAUGGCAAAAACCGCAAUUACUCUUUUUUUUUUUUUUUUUUGAGACAGAGUCUUGCUCUGCC